UUCACUCAAAUUUGUAUGCAGUUGGAACAGCGCCCCUAACGGCAAACGUAGGCAAACGUUCCAACUCCAUACAAAUUUGAGUUA
rnacentral:pre_miRNA from 1 species